rnacentral:rRNA from 1 species
UGGGGAAUCUUCCGCAAUGGACGAAAGUCUGACGGAGCAACGCCGCGUGUAUGAUGAAGGUCUUCGGAUUGUAAAGUACUGUCAUUGGGGAAGAACGGUUUUCUUGAAAAGAUUGAGAAGACAUGACGGUACCCAAGGAGGAGGCCCCGGCUAACUACGUGCCAGCAGCCGCGGUAAUACGUAGGGGGCAAGCGUUGUCCGGAAUUAUUGGGCGUAAAGGGCGCGUAGGCGGGCCUUUAAGUCCGGCGUGAAAGAUCAGGGCUCAACCCUGAGAGUGCAUCGGAAACUGGAGGCCUUGAGGACAGGAGAGGAAAGUGGAAUUCCACGUGUAGCGGUGAAAUGCGUAGAUAUGUGGAGGAACACCAGUGGCGAAGGCGACUUUCUGGACUGUAACUGACGCUGAGGCGCGAAAGCGUGGGGAGCAAACA